UAGUUGUCAAAUCAAGAUUCAAAUUGAGAAUCGAAAUCUUUAUUUUGUGAAUUGAGAAUUGAGAAUCAAAUCGAAUAAUAAGAUUCGAUAAAAAUUCUCCAAAUAUAUUAAAAAUGAUAUAUGUUAUAAAAAAAAGUAAUACACACACACACAUAAUGGCAUAAUGGCAUACAUAUAUACAUAUACAUAUAUGUAUAUAUAUGUCAUUUAGCAAAUGAGAAAGAUGCUUUAUAAUUACGUUACAUAGUUUUGUGUUAUAAAAUAUGAACUCUUGAAUUGUAAACAAUGAUUAUCAUUGAGCAUGUCCUGAAACUCCCAUUUAAAUUUGAUCAAA
rnacentral:misc_RNA from 1 species